GGGUUGUGAGGUUAAGCGACUAAGCGUACACGGUGGAUGCCCUGGCAGUCAGAGGCGAUGAAGGACGUGCUAAUCUGCGAAAAGCGUCGGUAAGGUGAUAUGAACCGUUACAGCCGGCGAUGUCCGAAUGGGGAAACCCAGUGCAAUUCGUUGCACUAUCGUUAACUGAAUACAUAGGUUAACGAGGCGAACCGGGGGAACUGAAACAUCUAAGUACCCCGAGGAAAAGAAAUCAACCGAGAUUCCCCCAGUAGCGGCGAGCGAACGGGGAGCAGCCCAGAGUCUGAAUCAGCUUGUGUGUUAGUGGAACGGUCUGGAAAGUCCGACGGUACAGGGUGAUAGUCCCGUACACCAAAAUGCACAGGUUGUGAACUCGAAGAGUAGGGCGGGACACGUGGUAUCCUGUCUGAAUAUGGGGGGACCAUCCUCCAAGGCUAAAUACUCCUGACUGACCGAUAGUGAACCAGUACCGUGAGGGAAAGGCGAAAAGAACCCCGGCGAGGGGAGUGAAAAAGAACCUGAAACCGUGUACGUACAAGCAGUGGGAGCACCUUCGGGUGUGACUGCGUACCUUUUGUAUAAUGGGUCAGCGACUUAUAUUCUGUAGCAAGGUUAACCGUAUAGGGGAGCCGCAGGGAAACCGAGUCUUAACUGGGCGUUAAGUUGCAGGGUAUAGACCCGAAACCCGGUGAUCUAGCCAUGGGCAGGUUGAAGGUUGGGUAACACUAACUGGAGGACCGAACCGACUAAUGUUGAAAAAUUAGCGGAUGACUUGUGGCUGGGGGUGAAAGGCCAAUCAAACCGGGAGAUAGCUGGUUCUCCCCGAAAGCUAUUUAGGUAGCGCCUCGUGAACUCAUCUUCGGGGGUAGAGCACUGUUUCGGCUAGGGGGUCAUCCCGACUUACCAACCCGAUGCAAACUACGAAUACCGAAGAAUGUUAUCACGGGAGACACACGGCGGGUGCUAACGUCCGUCGUGAAGAGGGAAACAACCCAGACCGCCAGCUAAGGUCCCAAAGUCAUGGUUAAGUGGGAAACGAUGUGGGAAGGCACAGACAGCCAGGAUGUUGGCUUAGAAGCAGCCAUCAUUUAAAGAAAGCGUAAUAGCUCACUGGUCGAGUCGGCCUGCGCGGAAGAUGUAACGGGGCUAAACCAUGCACCGAAGCUGCGGCAGCGACACUAUGUGUUGUUGGGUAGGGGAGCGUUCUGUAAGCCUGCGAAGGUGUGCUGUGAGGCAUGCUGGAGGUAUCAGAAGUGCGAAUGCUGACAUAAGUAACGAUAAAGCGGGUGAAAAGCCCGCUCGCCGGAAGACCAAGGGUUCCUGUCCAACGUUAAUCGGGGCAGGGUGAGUCGACCCCUAAGGCGAGGCCGAAAGGCGUAGUCGAUGGGAAACAGGUUAAUAUUCCUGUACUUGGUGUUACUGCGAAGGGGGGACGGAGAAGGCUAUGUUAGCCGGGCGACGGUUGUCCCGGUUUAAGCAUGUAGGCUGGUUGUCCAGGCAAAUCCGGAUAAUCAAGGCUGAGGUGUGAUGACGAGGCACUACGGUGCUGAAGUAACAAAUGCCCUGCUUCCAGGAAAAGCCUCUAAGCAUCAGGUAACAUCAAAUCGUACCCCAAACCGACACAGGUGGUCAGGUAGAGAAUACCAAGGCGCUUGAGAGAACUCGGGUGAAGGAACUAGGCAAAAUGGUGCCGUAACUUCGGGAGAAGGCACGCUGGUGUGUAGGUGAAGCCCCUGCGGGUGGAGCUGAGACCAGUCGAAGAUACCAGCUGGCUGCAACUGUUUAUUAAAAACACAGCACUGUGCAAACACGAAAGUGGACGUAUACGGUGUGACGCCUGCCCGGUGCCGGAAGGUUAAUUGAUGGGGUUAUCCGUAAGGAGAAGCUCUUGAUCGAAGCCCCGGUAAACGGCGGCCGUAACUAUAACGGUCCUAAGGUAGCGAAAUUCCUUGUCGGGUAAGUUCCGACCUGCACGAAUGGCGUAAUGAUGGCCAGGCUGUCUCCACCCGAGACUCAGUGAAAUUGAACUCGCUGUGAAGAUGCAGUGUACCCGCGGCAAGACGGAAAGACCCCGUGAACCUUUACUAUAGCUUGACACUGAACAUUGAGCCUUGAUGUGUAGGAUAGGUGGGAGGCUUUGAAGCGUGGACGCCAGUCUGCGUGGAGCCAACCUUGAAAUACCACCCUUUAAUGUUUGAUGUUCUAACGUUGGCCCCUGACCGGGGUUGCGGACAGUGUCUGGUGGGUAGUUUGACUGGGGCGGUCUCCUCCCAAAGCGUAACGGAGGAGCACGAAGGUUAGCUAAUCCUGGUCGGACAUCAGGAGGUUAGUGCAAUGGCAUAAGCUAGCUUGACUGCGAGCGUGACGGCGCGAGCAGGUGCGAAAGCAGGUCAUAGUGAUCCGGUGGUUCUGAAUGGAAGGGCCAUCGCUCAACGGAUAAAAGGUACUCCGGGGAUAACAGGCUGAUACCGCCCAAGAGUUCAUAUCGACGGCGGUGUUUGGCACCUCGAUGUCGGCUCAUCACAUCCUGGGGCUGAAGUAGGUCCCAAGGGUAUGGCUGUUCGCCAUUUAAAGUGGUACGCGAGCUGGGUUUAGAACGUCGUGAGACAGUUCGGUCCCUAUCUGCCGUGGGCGCUGGAGAAUUGAGGGGGGCUGCUCCUAGUACGAGAGGACCGGAGUGGACGCAUCACUGGUGUUCGGGUUGUCAUGCCAAUGGCACUGCCCGGUAGCUAAAUGCGGAAGAGAUAAGUGCUGAAAGCAUCUAAGCACGAAACUUGCCCCGAGAUGAGUUCUCCCUGAGACUUUAAGUCUCCUGAAGGAACGUUGAAGACGACGACGUUGAUAGGCCGGGUGUGUAAGCGCAGCGAUGCGUUGAGCUAACCGGUACUAAUGAACCGUGAGGCUUAACCUUACAACGCCGAAG
rnacentral:rRNA from 1 species